UUGAAGACCUUGGUUAUUUUAAGUAAGGAUGUGAUCAUCUUUUUAUUCCAUGCCAUUUAAAGAUAAAAACAAAUAUACAAAAAUUAAGAGAAAAUAUGGAGAGAAUAUGAAACUUACCUUUUCUUUUUAUUAAGCCAUUAUGAGAGAAUAAGGAUAAAGGGGAAAGGAAAGAGGAGAAGAGCCAUUUGCUCUUGUGGCUGCCGAAAUUAGAGAGAGAAAGAGAGAGUGGGAUGUGAGUUAGAGAGAGAAGGAGAAGAAGGAAGAAAGGAAGAAGAAGGAGAAGGGAAUACCAAGUCUAGGGCUUGAACAAGGGGUGGUAAAGUUUGGGUGUUGAUCAAUUUGUGUUCUUGAUUUUACAAUCAAGAGAGGCUCGUUGAGAAGUUGUGGUUUUACUUAGCUUGGACCUGAGGUAGCAAAUUGGUUUUCUCUGUGGCACGCGUGGUGAUGUGGGGAGUUCUAUCAUCCUGGUGUGUAUGGCAUGGGGGCAUCCUAUGGACAAAAAACGAUCAAUUAAAAACGCCAUUUUUUAUAAUGUUAUGUUUUAUGAGACUUUUUUUUUUAAACUUACCAGUGGGACUUGAAUUAUUGGUUGUUUUAGAACUUUGUAUAAAAAAUGAUAUUUUCUUUUAAAACUAUUGGGCCCAACUUGCAUGUUUUUAAG